AUACGUAGGGUGCGAGCGUUGUCCGGAAUUACUGGGCGUAAAGAGCUCGUAGGUGGUUUGUCGCGUCGUCUGUGAAAUUCCGGGGCUUAACUCCGGGCGUGCAGGCGAUACGGGCAUAACUUGAGUACUGUAGGGGAGACUGGAAUUCCUGGUGUAGCGGUGAAAUGCGCAGAUAUCAGGAGGAACACCGGUGGCGAAGGCGGGUCUCUGGGCAGUAACUGACGCUGAGGAGCGAAAGCAUGGGUAGCGAACAGGAUUAGAUACCCUGGUAGUCCAUGCCGUAAACGGUGGGCGCUAGGUGUAGGGGUCUUCCACGACUUCUGUGCCGUAGCUAACGCAUUAAGCGCCCCGCCUGGGGAGUACGGCCGCAAGGCUAAAACUCAAAUGAAUGGGCGGGG
rnacentral:rRNA from 1 species